GAUUGAACGCUGGCGGCAGGCCUAACACAUGCAAGUCGAGCGGCAGCGGGAAAGUAGCUUGCUACUUUUGCCGGCGAGCGGCGGACGGGUGAGUAAUGCCUGGGGAUCUGCCCAGUCGAGGGGGGUAACAGUUGGAAACGACUGCUAAUACCGCAUACGCCCUACGGGGGAAAGGAGGGGACCUUCGGGCCUUUCGCGAUUGGAUGAACCCAGGUGGGAUUAGCUAGUUGGUGGGGUAAUGGCUCACCAAGGCGACGAUCCCUAUCUGGUCUGAGAGGAUGAUCAGCCACACUGGAACUGACACACGGUCCAGACUCCUACGGGAGGCAGCACUGGGGAAUAUUGCACAAUGGGGGAAACCCUGAUGCAGCCAUGCCGCGUGUGUGAAGAAGGCCUUCGGGUUGUAAAGCACUUUCAUCGAGGAGGAAAGGUUGGCGCCUAAUACGUGUCAACUGUGACGUUACUCGCAGAAGAAGCACCGGCUAACUCCGUGCCAGCAGCCGCGGUAAUACGGAGGGUGCAAGCGUUAAUCGGAAUUACUGGGCGUAAAGCGCACGCA
rnacentral:rRNA from 1 species